GGCAUGGAGAGUUUGAUCCUGGCUCAGGACGAACGCUGGCGGCGUGCCUAAUACAUGCAAGUCGAGCGGUCGGGGGGCGGCGACGCUUCUCGGCAGCGGCGGACGGGUGAGGAACACGUGAGUAACCGGGCGUCCGGUGGGGGAUAUCGGGCCGAAAGGCGCGGCAAUCCCGCAUACGGCCGGCGGCGGGGGACCGGCGCUGGGGAAAGGCCGCGGGGACGCGGUCGCCGGACGGGGGGCUCGCGGCCCAUUAGCUAGUUGGGGGGGUAACGGCCUCCCAAGGCGACGAUGGGUAGCCGGCCUGAGAGGGUGAUCGGCCACACUGGGACUGAGACACGGCCCAGACUCCUACGGGAGGCAGCAGUAGGGAAUUUUCCACAAUGGGCGCAAGCCUGCUGGAGCAACGCCGCGUGAGUGAAGUCGGCCUUCGGGUUGUAAAGCUCUGGGGACCCGGACGAGGACCCGCCGUGGGGCGGGGGGGACGGUACGGGCGGAGGAAGCCCCUGCAAACUACGUGCCAGCAGCCGCGGUUA
rnacentral:rRNA from 1 species